CUGAGGUACGCUCGGUGUCGCCUUCGGGCGCGCCGGUUGCCCGCCCUUAUGUCAUUUGUGCCGGAGCCGGCCUCUCCCUAGGGGGGGUCCGGCGACGGGAACAUCACUUCGGUCGAUGUGUCGCGCCCCUCGUGGCGCGACCGCGGCCGGCCGUAUCUUUACACUCUUUGUGAGAAGCAUGAAGUCUGAAGCAUUUAUGAAAAUAAAAGCAA
rnacentral:misc_RNA from 1 species